rnacentral:rRNA from 1 species
GCAAGUCGAACGGAUCCUUCGGGAUUAGUGGCAGACGGGUGAGUAACGCGUGGGAAGCUACCUUGUGGUAGGGAACAACAGUUGGAAACGACUGCUAAUACCCUAUGAGCCCUAUGGGGGAAAGAUUUAUCGCCAUGAGAUGUGCCCGCGUUAGAUUAGCUAGUUGGUAAGGUAAUGGCUUACCAAGGCGACGAUCUAUAGCUGGUCUGAGAGGAUGAUCAGCCACACUGGGACUGAGACACGGCCCAGACUCCUACGGGAGGCAGCAGUGGGGAAUAUUGGACAAUGGGGGCAACCCUGAUCCAGCCAUGCCGCGUGAGUGAUGACGGCCUUAGGGUUGUAAAGCUCUUUCAGCAGUGAAGAUAAUGACAUUAACUGCAGAAGAAGCCCCGGCUAACUUCGUGCCAGCAGCCGCGGUAAUACGAAGGGGGCUAGCGUUGUUCGGAAUCACCGGGCGUAAAGCGUACGUAGGCGGACUGAUCAGUCAGGGGUGAAAUCCCGGGGCUCAACCCCGGAACUGCCUUUGAUACUGUCAGUCUUGAGAUCGAGAGAGGUGAGUGGAACUCCGAGUGUAGAGGUGAAAUUCGUAGAUAUUCGGAAGAACACCAGUGGCGAAGGCGGCUCACUGGCUCGAUACUGACGCU